UUGACUCGUGUGAAGUCGAAGCAGAGUCUCGCCUAUUUGUUGAAUGGAAUGAGCAAUUAGAGGGUGGAAUAUUAUUGUGAUCUUAACGAGGCUCGUUAAAGUUAAGAAGAUAUGUAGGGAGAGAAGGCAGGGGUGGGGUCUCGGGAUGACAGUCACGGACACGGGAAUUUAAAUGAAGCGCUAAAACGGAAUCUACAACAGGGUGCAGAUAGGCUAUUUCACUCUUUAGCGCCUUGUAUGAAGCUGGAGAGGAUGUUACGCCGACUCGCUUAACCCAUAGCCUAAAACAUUAGCCGUAAAACAUGCACUGAAUUUUAUAUCUAAAAGGAUUAACAUAUUUGUUCGCUGUGUAUAUCGCACGCCGAAAACUCCCGGAUCGUUUUUCUAUUUCGAUCGCAUUUCGAUGCUAUUCUCACACAGUGACAGCCGUUUACUAGUGGACGCGCAUCCCUGUGGCUCCGCUGAUGCUUUACUAUGCUCAGAGACCAAACCCUGGCCCAUUGCCCACGCCUGUUGAAAAAAGCACGUGAUCGUUGAUGCACAUUUUUAUUUUUAUUUGAUUAAAAAUGUUUGCAGUUAGCUAUAUAGUUAAAUAAUAUUGUGCGCUACUUUAGGUCGUUAAAAUUUGAAAGACCUUUUCACGAGAAUGAAGGAUAUAAUCUAUAACUAUGCCACGAGAUUCAGCUUCCAGCGGCGUGUUGAUAUGGGUUUUUUGGCAUGCACCAAAAGAGUCUGUGCUGCAUUAUAUUUAGACAGUGCUUAGUAAGUGUUAAAAUUUACGUGUCCACUCGAUAAAGAACAAUGACAAUAUUGUGAGAACAUGAGGUGUACAACGCCGCAGCAUCCAGACUUUCUCUAAUUUAGCUAAUGCUGGCAUAAUUUAAUGCAAUUUCCAGAAUUUUUCAGGUACUUGUAUGUGUUUUUCAGAUACUGAAUUCCAUUUUAUCAAAUAAGUAUACAUGUAAAUGGGAUAACAUUUUUAUUGUAUUAACUUUAUUUCCUAUUCCGGUAGCUUUAUUAUUAGCCACCCAUGUCAGAUUUACAGAAAUGUACUGCAAGGGGCGGGGAAGAGAUCUUAAUAGAAGUAUUGGGUCACGUCGUGUCUCCAGGAUCAAAUCUGUUUGUUCUUCUGUCACAGGAAACUUAAGUGAAGUAACUCCAAGUGGCACUUCAAGUGGUCCCUUUGCAAAGCUUUUUGGACUGGAAAUAACCUGUGUUGUUUCAUUGUUGACUGUGUUUUUAAAAAUCACUUGGUCAAGCUGUUUAACAUUUAGAAAUGCUCUUAAUUAUGACAUAUGAUACAGGAUUUCCCCCAGGUUUUUUAUUUGGCGACAUCAGUGUUUGCGUGGCUUGAUUCAAAUGUGAUUUGCAAAAAGUUCUGUCAUGUAGUGGAACUCACUUAAAAACAGAAAGAACGUCCCAAGUUGCCGUAAAAUCACUUUGUUUAACAUUGCCUUUGUUUUCGUUAAGCAAGUCAUUAGCAUCCCCAAAUAACUUCAUUCACCUGGUUUAAUCGUCUGUUUAUCCCCUAUAGCUUUCAUUGCUCUGUACUAUGCCAAAAUCAGCGGGGAGCAAGGUCCUCAAUACAGAUGAACGUUUAGCUGUUUUUUAUUUGCUGACAAAGACUAUGAAAUAAGAAAGUAAUAGACAGUGGAUUAUUUCGCUGCUGAGCAUAUUUUAUUUAAACAUGUUUCUUGUUUCAGCAUUUAAGUGAAGUGACAUCAGGGGUUUGAAACUUAACACGUAAUUUCGGAGUUCAGUCUCUCUGAAAGAGCCAUAAUAAAACUACGUGUCGUCACAGCAUGCCAGAGAUCACUGAGAAGCUCGGUCGUAUGAGAAGGUCAUCAUUACACUUUGCCAAACAGGAAAUCGAUCUCCACGCGACGGCUGCAGAAACACAGAGUUCUAUCAAGAGACUGUCUUCUCGGGAGCGGUGGUUUGAGUCUUUCUGUUCUUGUUUUGUUUUGUUUUGUUUUAUUUUAUCCUCUUUUCUUAAACUAACUUAUGGGUUGUAACACUUGAUGCGGCUCCAACGAUUUUGAUCCAUUGCUCUCUCUUCCCUUAUGUCACGUCUCUUUCGUCUUUUUUUUUCUUUUCAUUUUUGCGUUUUUCAUUGUUUCAGAUUUAUAAAUGAUCUAUUGCUGUUUUCUGGUGCUAUACUGCAAAAACGGACUUGAUUUAAAUGUUGCUAUGAGGUUUGUGUUGCGUGCACAAUUUUGGACGUCUUUGCAUCCUGUAAGUUUUUAUCACUUAUCUUAAAAAUAGCUAAUUAUUCUGAGACUCACCAGAGAGUUGGUCAAGUUCUUAAGAGUGUUUAUGGCUUCGUAAAAGACACCAACAGAUUAUAAAGCGAAGGCGAUAGAUUAAACAACAAGCAUCAUUCAGUAGCCAAGCAUAUUCCCAGUUUAUCGCUCUUGAAGUUGUCAUCCUCUGUCGGGACGUUGCUCUCCUCUCCGUGAAUCAUGCAAGACAAGUGCAGCUUGCAGCGUUGUGGGGCCGUCGUGACGGGGCGCAAAUGCCCCUUUCUAUUCGCUCAGCUCAGGGUCUUAACCUCGGCUGUAUUUUGAAUCCGCUUGGCUUGUUAAAUGUAGGUAGUACAAUGGAGGCGUUUUAUUACUUCUGGCUAUACGAUGUCACACCUACUUAUGUAGGUAGCCAAGAUACAAUUCCAGUAUUUUUUUUUUUUUUUUUAAAUGUUUAGUGUGACAACUAUUUAAUAUGUGUGAUUUGGAAAAGACAUUGGGUAAUUGCUGUUCAUCGAACACUCUGAUUUUAACAUAUUUUUAAAUCAUUUAUUUGCAUUGGCUAUAGUAUACAUUAUUUGUAGUUGUUAUUUAUGAGUUCCUGAUACCUCGAUGACAUUUUAGAUUUCUCUGUCUUUUUUUUUUCUUUUUUUUUUUUUUUUUUUUUUUUUUUUUUUUUGCUGGGGGAGGGAGGCGAAAUGCGAGCACCAUUUUCAACAGAGAUGCCCCCCUCCCCUCCUUUUUUUUGUGUGGUCUCAUUAAGUGGGCAUCCUGCUAGGUCUGCGGAGUUAUACGGGAGCUGUCCAAUCACUGCAUUUGCACGGCUUGUUAGCGACAUUUAAUGAGGGUUCUCUGCAAACCAAGUGAAUGGCGCUUCAAUGUUAGAUUUACCUUGUGUCAACUCGUUACUUCUAAUGAACCCAUUGGAGGUUUCGUUGGUGAAUGGAGCCGGACGCCUGGAACUGCAGGCCCUCUUUCUUCCGGUUUCUCUCAGAGCUUUGGCUUGGCCCAAAUCCAUAGUGUGUGGUGUGGGUGGUGAGGACUUGCACUGUAUUUUGGGGGGUCGGGGGGAGUAGCGGAGAUAUUCGUAGCUACGUUGUAUCCAUUCUAAUGUUGUUUAAUUGAUUAUGUUGAUUUCAGGACCUCAUUCAGGAUCAAAAUCAUACCCAUAACCUUUGAGUGAUAAAGUACUAAUUUUUCAAAACCCCUCAUCGCUAUAAUUGCACAAACCUACUUCUACACACAGCGUACCUUUUUAGGAUUAUCCACCACAAUCUACACAUUUUAACACAAUGUUUUGAUAUUUAGGGAUAUUUUUGUUUAAGUUUUGCACUGUGCAACAAGGUGUUUAAUCUUGAUGCAAAUGUUUAAGAGUGUUUAAAGCUGAAUGCAUAUUUAGUUAUUUAAAAUAUUACUGAUAAUAUAAACAAUAGUGAUGAUGAUUUUAUAGAAUGUAUGCAGCAAUUUCUAGAAAAUAUGCAAUAAAAAAAAAAAAACUUCGAGUACUGUUGUGAGGCAUGCAAACCCUAGUUAUUAGAUAUUAGAUGUAUAAUGUUUAUAAUUUUACGAAACUGUACAGUCACUGACAUUAACAUAAUAAAUUAACAGAUUAAAAAAACAAAACAACUUUUGACCAAACCGUGUGCUGCCAAUUACACAAAAUUAAAGUGAAAAUAAAUAUUACAUGAUUAAGCCUGAGACUGCAUAUCGCUUUUUGGUUCUAUAGCCUAUUAGAUUCUGAUGUGAAACUUGAAUUUCUCGAAUUAACCAAUAAUUGUGUAAAACAUGAGAGAAGCUUAACGAGAGACUACGUUGAUUUAAUGUUUUCCAUAAAAACCUGGUUUAAGAAGUAGUCUACAGGUAUUCAACGUGUUUAAAUUAAACCUUCGUACAUCCUGUUGUCAUUUACUCGGGCGGGGUAUGGUCUUGUUUUGCGUUUCGUAUUGGUAGCCCUAUCAGUUUUGUCAGUCUUGAUCAGGUGCAAAGUGAUAAGAUAGAACCAUUGAGGCCGCUGUCAUAACGACCCGGGGCAACCCGACAAUAAUUCAUAAACGCUGGCAAUCUGUCACUCUGCGUCUACGGGGAGGUUUCUAUUAGAGCUUUUAAAUUGGCAGAAAGUGAAACACAGGUCUUUGCCUAGUAAGACAACCCAAUCUGGAGCAAAUCGUCAACAUGGGCAAAUUAUUAGCGCCUCAGUUGAGCUACCGCUGAAAGGGCAGACCCAUUCAUGAAUUGUGCUCAAUCUCUUCGUCCAUUCUUUCUCAGUCAUUCAUGCUAUAAUGAUUCAAUUUAGGCAUGUUGGAAAAAUGAGACCCAAAUGUAGGUGGAAUAUUUUAAGAUUUUUCAGUUUAACUCAUUCUUCCUACGCUCAAUGAGUCUUUGUACGUGAUUGAAUUAUUUAAUUUGUUGUUAAUAUUAUAAUUUGUGUCUCCAACAUCACUGUACGUUGGAUUGGAUCCAUCGAUACAUCCAAAGUACAGUAAUAUGUUGGAGGAGAAAAAAAAGUUCUAACCAUUGAGAUAUAUAUGAGAUGUUGUUUCCGGUCUAAAAAUAGACGUGCUGAACUUUUAAACAUAAAUGCGAAGGAAACUAAAAUAAUGAAUGCUUACAUUAUUUGACAUAAUACACUACAUACAAUGUUGAUAAAAUACAGCGAUAAAGAAGUUUUUAUUUUUAUUAUUAUUGGGCUCAAUUUUAUUUUUGAAAUAGAAUUAAUUAAUUUUAGAUUUAUUUGAUUCAUAAUGUAAUAAAGUGCAACAUUUGAUAAGGAACAGUGCACCAUGCAACCUGUCUUUCCCUGUUCCGCCUAAACUGCUGUGUUUAACAUAAGCCUUUUCCUCGUCCUUCAUUUGACAGGGAAGUCAAGUGACUGAAAAAUUACACGAGUGAAACCAGCAUAUUUAAAUAGGACAAGCCCUGCUAUUGUAGCUUGACGUGUUUUUGUUCCUGUUAUCGAGAAUGACAGUGAUUGUUGCUCGAGAAUGAUAAAUAAUAAUUGCAUUUUGUUUUGCUCACAUCAUGUUUCCCCCCCCCCUGGAAUUUGACUAGACACAUUUGAAUGUUUUAGUUUAUGUAUUGGUAUUUGAAUGAUAUGUUUAAUAAGGGUGCUCAUUCUUAAUUUUUGUAUUGGCAUCAUGUAAUGUGUAUUCCCAUGUAUUUUAUAAUUUUACUAUAUUUCAUCAGUGAUGAAUCCAGGCUGGUUAAAGAAUAAAUAUAAAAACACUGGCUUGUGUCUGAGCGACCUGUGCUGACCUACAAAAGCUCUCAUUUGUAAAGGUUAGGCAAUCCUUUGGUAAACAUGUAUUACAACUCUGCUUAUGUCUGAUAUCAACUGUAAUUCCAACUCCCUCACUAACUCAUUCACUCACUCACUCAUUCAAAAAAUUAAAUAAAUAAAAAUAAAUAAAUAAAUAAAUGAAUCACGAAUGCAACCAAUGCGAAAUAUGUAUUAUUGAUUGGUCAUGAUCUAGAUUUUGGUCUGCCCUGGGACAAUUCCUUAUAAAAUGUUUAACUUUUCAUUUAUUUCAGCAAUUUAAAUAUUAACUUACCUUAUCAGAAGUUUAAGUCAAGGAGGUGAACAGAGUCAUCUAGAUUUUUUAGGCCUACUUAUGAUUACUUGGCAGUGACUGAAAGUGUAGCAUCCAGAACUUGUUAUUCAUGGGUGAAAAGCAUCUGUCGAAUAGGAUUUCUGUCUAAAGAAGGGUUUGACCACAGAGAUCAAUAGAGGACGUCUGGAUUGCUACAGGAGAUGAAAUGCGCUACAUCGCUUUGACAGGUACAAGGCGCUACUUUGAGGAGACGCGCGAAAUAUCAACAGGUAGAUAUGCUUUAUAUGCCGAGUGUAUCUAACGAAUAGCUAAAGAGAAAUUCUGAAAAAUAAUUUUGAGAUUUUGAACUUGUGAACUCGUGAUUUUUUAACGGGACACUGACAGGAAGUUACAAACAAAGAACUCUCUUAAGUUUUGUUGUGUUCCUCACGAAGACGGAGGUAUUUUUAGUUAUUUUGACGUAUUUUACUUAGUGUUGAUAUUAACAGAUCAACGAGUAUCAAUUUUUGGUUUAGUUGAUUAUUUUUUAUAUUUAAAUUACUUACAAACAGAGGCUGCAAAAAUGGUCAUUCUAUUUCGAUUAAUGUAAUUUGAAGAGGUUUUGGAAAAUUAAAGGAUGCUAUGUUUGUUAUUAAACUCUUUAGGCUUACAUUGUCUGAUAAAAUUAAUGAUACUUUCAGAAAAGUUAAAUUUCUUUCAACAGAAUUAAUUAGAUUUUACGUGAAUGUAUAUGAUUGAUAGUGUUAUAAAGUGAAGCUAUAGUGGCAAGGCUUCAGCCAGGGGUUUAUAGUCUAGUCUGUAACUUAUUUGUAUGUUUUUCAAUUCACAAUGAAAUUUUCUUUUCUUUGGAAAGCCCAUCGCACCCAGUUAUAAUGUUUCCCUCGUGUUUGUAUAGCAUCCACUUCCAGAGUUGAUCGAUAUUAGAGUUGACUAGGAAAAAAACUCAAUGUUUGCACAUGCUGUUCUGACGAAAUCUUGAAACACAAAUGUAAUUAUGCCAGUCUAACUUCUGAAACGUUCAUUUUUAGCGCCCCUUUAAGGUACUUGAUCACAUUUUUUUUUUUUUUUUUGCAGAUUAACGCAUAUGUAUUAUUUAUCACUUAAUUACAUUAUAGAAGAUACUCAAGCAGAUGUCAAAACGUCUUAAAAAUGUUUAUGAUUGAGUGAGUGAGUCCAGUGCGCGACGCAUUAUCCCGUGCCCAAAUGAAAAAUUAAUGACUGACAGCUGUAACCUGUAGCCUGUAGCCAGCCCUCGGUCUUUCAAUUGCUUUGAUGGUCAUCACAUCCACCAUCUCAGACUAUAUGCUCAAAUACGGUUACGUUAUUGAUUUAUGACCUGUAAUUCCUUGAUAGCCUAAUACAGUGGGAGAAUGAAACCCCAAAUUAUCUAAAUAA